GUUUCUGUUAAGUCUAGUAAAUAUAGGGAACAAGAGAUGAAGAGGUCGUGGACAGCAGUGGAUUUUGUAAUAUUGCAAACAAAGAGUGUAUUCCAGAGAGCAGUAUUGAAGGAGGAUUUAGAGGAAGAGUAACGUGACAUGGGUAUGAGAUUGGUGUGGUUCCUUGAGUUAGUAGGUGGUGAGUUUGCUGAGAUGGGACCGGGGUUUGGAGAGACAUCGACCAGCUGCUAGGAGCAGUAGGAUAGAAAGGAAGUGAAGGUGGGAGUAGAAUUUGAAGGUUUUGUAGGAGGGUAUGUGCAUAGAGGAUUUGGGAGGAGUUGGAG